ensembl:lncRNA
AUUCUCCCACCUUCCUGGGCCUUGAGGUCUUCCCCUCUUCCUCAGGAUAAGUAACUGAACCUAACACAUGCUAACCUAGGAAGAAUGAAGGCAGGGGGGCACUGAGAAUGACCCUGAGAAUCUGGGGUCACCUAGGGCAGGAGGGAGGGGAGAGCCUCUGAGUGCACUGGCUGAGAGAGAUGGUGGGAUGGCCAUGGUCCAUCUUGCUGGCAAGGAGCAGCUGCCGAACCGCAUCAAGGAGUCCUUCUCUCAAAUCAGUCAGGUGGGUGGAAGCACGUGGCCGUUGCAGGCCAUGAAGGAGGCCUUUCAAAACCAGCAGAGAGCUUCCAAGAAACGCCCUGGGGAUGGGCUGAGUCAACAUGCCCCAGGUCCCCCAGGCCCUCUGUUCAGCCUCCAGGCUGUCAGGCUGCUUCCCACAGCAGGGGCUGCCCAAAGCCCUUGGCUGGGAGGCAGUUCAGGGCCCAGGACAGAGCCUGGGUUCUGGAGCCGUCAGACCUUGGGUUCUGCGCAUGCUCAAAGGCUUUCCAUGAAGACCGAAAGUCCUGACGCUGUGGACUUGGGCUCUGUUUCUCCAGCAUCCUCAGCCCCUCGGCGGAAGCCCCCUACUCCAUUCUGUUACAUGUCCAUGCUUUAUGUCCAGCCAGACCCUGGCCUUCCUCCAACCACGUGGCUCCAAGUCUGGCACCCCACAGGAAUGACUAGCCCUAGCUGAAGGCACACCAAACCUACCCCAGCCUCUGCUGGUCACAGCUGCUCCCACAACUGGGCCAAAGGUGGCAGGGUUGUGACCUGCUCCUGUAACUCCCUGUUCCACCCUCUUUUUCUGUCCUGGGUCUCUGGUCACUCAUAUCCCUGUCCUAGGGGCCAGGCCCUGGGAGGGGAGACAUUGCGUGGUUAUGCUCCUCAAGGCAGAGGUGUUCCUGAAUCCCUUUCCAUUCCUGAUGAAGAAUCAGGUCCCCCACCCUGUGCUUGGGCUCCCUGGCCUAAGGGAUGCUCACCCCUUCCUGUAGGGAAACAGCAUAGUAUAGGUAUAUCCCCACACUGGGUUCAAGUCCUCCUCCUGCCACUUCCCAACUGCGUGGCCUUGGCCACCUCUGUGCCACAGUUUCCCCAUCUGUAGUGUUAGUCGCUCAGUUGUAUCCGACUCUUUUCAACCCCAUGGACUGUAGUCUGCCAGGCUCCUCCGUCUAUGGAAUUCUCCAUGGACAAUUCUCCAGCAAGAAUACUAGAGUGGGUAGCCAUGGCCUUCUACAGGGUAUCUUCCCAACCCAAGGAUUGCUCUUCUCACAUUGAAGGCAGAUUCAAGGAUAAAAUAGGAUCUUACAGGGAUUAAAUGAGUCAAUGU